rnacentral:rRNA from 1 species
GUGGGGAAUCUUAGACAAUGGGCGCAAGCCUGAUCUAGCCAUGCCGCGUGAGCGAUGAAGGCCUUAGGGUUGUAAAGCUCUUUCAGCUGGGAAGAUAAUGACGGUACCAGCAGAAGAAGCCCCGGCUAACUCCGUGCCAGCAGCCGCGGUAAUACGGAGGGGGCUAGCGUUGUUCGGAAUUACUGGGCGUAAAGCGCACGUAGGCGGAUCAGAAAGUCAGAGGUGAAAUCCCAGGGCUCAACCUUGGAACUGCCUUUGAAACUCCUGAUCUUGAGGUCGAGAGAGGUGAGUGGAAUUCCGAGUGUAGAGGUGAAAUUCGUAGAUAUUCGGAGGAACACCAGUGGCGAAGGCGGCUCACUGGCUCGAUACUGACGCUGAGGUGCGAAAGCGUGGGGAGCAAACAGGAUUAGAAACCCGGGUAGUCC